rnacentral:rRNA from 1 species
UACGUAGGGGGCGAGCGUUAUCCGGAUUCAUUGGGCGUAAAGCGCGCGUAGGCGGCCCGUCAAGCGGAACCUCUAACCCGAGGGCUCAACCCCCGGCCGGGUUCCGAACUGGCAGGCUCGAGUUUGGUAGAGGAAGAUGGAAUUCCCGGUGUAGCGGUGGAAUGCGCAGAUAUCGGGAAGAACACCGAUGGCGAAGGCAGUCUUCUGGGCCAUCAACUGACGCUGAGGCGCGAAAGCUGGGGGAGCGAACAGG